rnacentral:rRNA from 1 species
GACGAACGCUGGCGGCAAGCUUAACACAUGCAAGUCGAACGCCGUAGCAAUACGGAGUGGCAGACGGGUGAGUAACACGUGGGAACGUGCCUUUCGGUUCGGAACAACUGAGGGAAACUUCAGCUAAAACCGGAUACGCCCUUCGGGGGAAAGUUUACGCCGAAAGAUCGGCCCGCGUCAGAUUAGGUAGUUGGCGGGGUAAUGGCCCACCAAGCCGAUGAUCUGUAGCUGUUCUGAGAGGAAGAUCAGCCACACUGGGACUGAGACACGGCCCAGACUCCUACGGGAGGCAGCAGUGGGGAAUAUUGGACAAUGGGCGCAAGCCUGAUCCAGCUAUGCCGCGUGGAUGAAGAAGGCCUUCGGGUUGUAAAGUCCUUUCGGCGGGGAAGAUAAUGACGGUACCCGCAGAAGAAGCCCCGGCUAAUUUCGUGCCAGCCGCCGCGGUAAGAC